GACGAACGCUGGCGGCGUGCUUAACACAUGCAAGUCGAACGGAAAGGCCCCUUUGGGGGUACUCGAGUGGCGAACGGGUGAGUAACACGUGAGUAACCUGCCCUUGACUUCGGGAUAACUUCAGGAAACUGGGGCUAAUACCGGAUAGGAAUCCUUGCUUCAUGGUGGGGGUUGGAAAGCUUCGGCGGUUUUGGAUGGACUCGCGGCUUAUCAGCUUGUUGGUGGGGUAGUGGCUUACCAAGGCUUUGACGGGUAGCCGGCCUGAGAGGGCGACCGGCCACAUUGGGACUGAGAUACGGCCCAGAAUCCGACGGGAGGCAGCAGUGGGGAAUAUUGCACAAUGGGCGGAAGCCUGAUGCAGCAACGCCGCGUGCGGGAUGACGGCCUUCGGGUUGUAAACCGCGUUCAGCAGGGGCGAAGCUUGUGGUGACGGUACCUGCAGAAGAAGCACCGGCUAACUACGUG
rnacentral:rRNA from 1 species